rnacentral:misc_RNA from 1 species
AUUUAAAAUCAAAGCAAUUAACAAAUGACAGUAAGAUAUUUUUAUCCAAGUUUCAUGCUGGAGAAAAAAAAACCCAGCAGCUUCAGAUUUAUACCAAGUUAACCAAAUAUGGAUAAUAAUGGACGUCACAUCUCUUGCUUAAUUAAACAAUCAGCAAUUUCUUCUAUAAUAUCAUUGACAGAGGCCUGGAUCUCUCCAUGCAGUUUGGUGCCUUCAAUGAGCAUGUUUGGUUUUCAUUUCUCAUUGUUAGUCGUUACACUGUACCAGCUGUUGUGCUGCCCAAUGAGGUGAACAUGAAGUUCCCCGAAAACAUAGCUUCCUUAUCUGUAAAUGACAGACAGUUGGAUUCCCUGCGAACAUACCUUGACAUAGCCUGGACAGGAAGCAAAGCAGCAUCACUUGGCGUAGAGGUACCAUCAUCAGAGAAGACAUUCCUCCAAAUUACAUUCUGCAACUCAUCCUGCUUAGCUUCAGGAAGCAUCGCAGCAUCAUAGGCGACAAUAUUACCAUAAAAUAUCUUUUCUAAAUCCUUCAUCCAUUUAAUCAACAAUAAGUUAACCCCAGCUUUAGAAA